CAGGAGAUAGUUUAAAUAAAAUUUUAAUUUUGGGGAUUAAUAAUAAGCGUGAGCUUUCUCUUGA
rnacentral:tRNA from 1 species